UAACACGGUGGAGUAUAUAUUUCCAUCCCCCCGAGCCCUCCUCAUUCAUUCCCACCAGCCGUCUCCUCAGAGUAACAUCGUGCCGUGAUCUAAGUGUCCAGAAAUUCUCUGAAGCUACACCAUGAAGCUGUUUGUCUGCAUGAUGCUGGUGACGAUGGUUGUCAUGGCAACGCUGAUUGACGACUCCGAGGGAUGGAGGCGUCGGCGCAGGCGCAGAAGGGGUCGUCUGGAUGUCGAUGCAGAUGCUGACUCAGAGCUAAGAGAGGUUGUGGAAGAGGCGAGGUCGCUACUGGAAGAACUAAAUGAACAAGCCGAGCUGUUGGAUACACCUGAAGAACUAACUGAGCUUGAGGGCGCCCCCGGAGAGAAGAGCUCCAGGUGACAUUCCAACAGACGACCAGAACAAACAAAGUUGUUAGAAUAGGACUCCCGCACAAGGACUUUAAAAGUCGAAACUGGUUUGGAACCAAACUGUCAUUAGACGAUUAUUUAUACGUCGAUUGAAUAUAUUUUGUCUAGCGUUUUUAUUUUCGUUCCAGGUAACAUGUAAUGUUAUUCAAUCUCAAAAGGAAUGUCGCUAAAUAUGGCAACGCAACUUUGUGCGUAAUGAAACCGUUGACUCAUAGAAUCCGCCAUGUAUUAGGUAUCUAGAGUACUGUGUAUUUAUGCCAAUGGUUGUCUUUAUACAUAUACACUUGUUAAUGCACUUGAUUAUUACUGGCUCAAUAAAACUUAUUGAAAAAA